rnacentral:misc_RNA from 2 species
CUGAGUGUAAAAACUCCCAAACCCAUUGUGAACAUACCACUGUUGCUUCGGCGGAUCCGCCCCGGGCGCUCCCUCUCGCAGGGCGUGCCCCGGAACCAGGCGCCCGCCGGGGGACCGAAACUCUUGUUUUAUUCAGUAUCUUCUGAGUGUGAUUUACAAAUAAAAUCA